rnacentral:rRNA from 1 species
GUGCCAGCAGCCGCGGUAAUACAGAGGGUGCAAGCGUUGCUCGGAAUUAUUGGGCGUAAAGGGUAGGUAGGUGGUCUCGUUUGUCUGAGGUGAAAGCCCUGGGCUUAACCUGGGAAGUGCCUCGGAAACGGCGAGACUAGAGUCCUGGAGAGGGUCGUGGAACUCCCGGUGUAGCGGUGAAAUGCGUAGAGAUCGGGAAGAAUACCAGAGGCGAAGGCGACGACCUGGACAGGCACUGACACUCAACUACGAAGCGUGGGGAUCAAACAGGAUUAGAUACCCUCGUAGUCC